GACAGAGGGUGCAAACGUUGUUCGGAAUUACUGGGCGUAAAGCGCGUGUAGGCAGCUUAGCAAGUCGGGUGUGAAAGCCCUGGGCUCAACCUAGGAAGUGCACUCGAAACUGCUUCGCUUGAGUAUCGGAGAGGAAAGCGGAAUUCUCGGUGUAGAGGUGAAAUUCGUAGAUAUCGAGAGGAACACCAGUGGCGAAGGCGGCUUUCUGGACGAUCACUGACGCUGAGACGCGAAAGCGUGGGGAGCAAACAGG
rnacentral:rRNA from 1 species